ACGAACGCUGGCGGCGUGCUUAACCCAUGCAAGUCGAACGGAAAGGCCCCUUUGGGGGUACUCGAGUGGCGAACGGGUGAGUAACACGUGAGUAACCUGCCCUUGACUUCGGGAUAACUUCAGGAAACUGGGGCUAAUACCGGAUAGGAAUCCUUGCUGCAUGGUGGGGGUUGGAAAGCUUCGGCGGUUUUGGAUGGACUCGCGGCUUAUCAGCUUGUUGGUGGGGUAGUGGCUUACCAAGGCUUUGACGGGUAGCCGGCCUGAGAGGGCGACCGGCCACAUUGGGACUGAGAUACGGCCCAGACUCCUACGGGAGGCAGCAGUGGGGAAUAUUGCACAAUGGGCGGAAGCCUGAUGCAGCAACGCCGCGUGCGGGAUGACGGCCUUCGGGUUGUAAACCGCUUUCAGCAGGGGCGAAGCUUGUGGUGACGGUACCUGCAGAAGAAGCACCGGCUAACUACGUG
rnacentral:rRNA from 1 species